rnacentral:lncRNA from 1 species
CAAGGUUGCCCUUUUGAUGCCCUAUAUGUCUACUGUAAUUUCACGGCUGGAGGUCUGACUUGCGUGUCUCCUGUCAAAUCACAGAUCACAGUAAGAUCAGAGUCGGAGAAGAAGGUCACUAACGCCUCUAUGCACUGGUUCAGUCGGCUUGGAAAUGGCUUCAGGUUUGAAUAUACAGACCUCACUACAGUACAGCUCCGGUUCCUGCGCCUACACAGCUACUCAACUUCGCAGCGUUUGACCAUAGCGUGUCCUGCAUACAGCGCCACCCACAACACCACAUCCAGCUGGAGAAAAGCCGCUAAAAGAGCUAUACAUCUCCUGGGAGACAACGGAAAAGAUAUCAGACUUUCAGGCUCAUCCUGCGGUACCAGCUCACUGCAAAGUUGCAAGGUAGACAUAGAGCUGUCGGUGAAGAACAGAGCAGAUGUUCAGAGAAGUGACACAAAUCUGCUGCCUCUCAGGGACCUGGGAGUGAAGGAGGAGGGACACAUCUGGACAGAGGGUUUCUCAGCAACCUUAGGUCCCCUGUGCUUUUUGUAGCUGUGCUUCAUAAAAGGCGGCUGUUCAGCAAUGGAUGACAUGCUUUUAAACACUUGAUUGUGAGACAGCGGUGACACCUGAGUGGCGGCACUAGGUUGUACCUCUUUGGCGGAAAAAGGGAAAAAAGAGGGCCAAGGGUCAUUCAGCCGUCAGCGGAGAGAAGCGGCACACUUUGCACUCAUUCAAGAGGAUUAAAAGAAAUAUUUCAACAGCUCUUAGGCAAUCUCUUAAACGAGUAGUCAACAAAUGUAAAAAUACAUUUUACAAUAAGGUUAUGCCGAUUGUUAACCGAUGUUUUAACUUAAGUUAAUUGAAUGUUAUUUAAGGAGUUUGUGCUUAAUAAUUGCUAGCAUUACAACAAAUGGUAAUGAUAGGGUUAUGAGUGAUUAAUAAAGCCUUCUUCAUGUUUAAUCUCA